AUUGAACGCUGGCGGCAGGCCUAACACAUGCAAGUCGAACGAGUGGCGGACGGGUGAGUAAUGUCUGGGAAACUGCCUGAUGGAGGGGGAUAACUACUGGAAACGGUAGCUAAUACCGCAUACCAUCAGAUGUGCCCAGAUGGGAUUAGCUUGUUGGGGGGGUAACGGCUCACCAAGGCGACGAUCCCUAGCUGGUCUGAGAGGAUGACCAGCCAUCCUGGAACUGAUACACGGUCCCACCUCCUACGUGUGUCAGCAGUGGGGAAUAUUGCACAAUGGGCUCAAUCCUGAUGCAGCCAUGCCGCGUGUAUGCAGAAGUCCUUCGUGUUGUAAAGUACUUUCAGCGUGGAGGCGUUACCCGCAGAAGAAGCACCGUCUAACUCCGUGCCAGCAGCCGCGGUAAUUC
rnacentral:rRNA from 1 species